AGCAUAUCAAUAAGCGGAGGAAAAGAAACCAACAGGGAUUGCCUCAGUAACGGCGAGUGAAGCGGCAGCAGCUCAGAUUUGGAAUCUGGCCCCGAUCGGGGUCCGAGUUGUAGUCUGUAGAGGAUGCUUCGGGGGUGGACCGGGCCCAAGUUCCUUGGAACAGGGCGUCAGAGAGGGUGAGAGUCCCGUCUGCGGCCCGGAUCCCUCCUCCGGGUGAGGCUCCCUCGACGAGUCGAGUUGUUUGGGAAUGCAGCUCAAACCGGGUGGUAAAUCUCAUCUAAAGCUAAAUACCCGCCAGAGACCGAUAGCGCACAAGUAGAGUGAUCGAAAGAUGAAAAGCACUUUGAAAAGAGAGUUAAACAGCACGUGAAAUUGUUGAAAGGGAAGCGCUUGCGAUCAGACUCGCCUGCGGUUCCUCAGUCGACGGGCCCACCGUCGGCGCACUGGGCCUCAGGCAGGCCAGCAUCGGUCUGGGGGGUGGAAGAAUGGCCCUGGGAACGUGGCACCUCUCGGGGUGCGUUAUAGCCUGGGGUGCGACGCCAUCCCCCGGACCGAGGCCCGCGCUCCGGCAAGGAUGCUGGCGUAAUGGUCGCCAGCGACCCGUCUUGAAACACGGACCAAGGAGUCUAACAUCCACGCGAGUGUUUGGGCGUCAAACCCCCGACGCGCAAUGAAAGUGAACGGAGGUGGGACCCCACACGGGUGCACCAUCGACCGAUCCUGAAGUUCACGGAUGGAUUUGAGUAGGAGCGUGGCUGUUGGGACCCGAAAGAUGGUGAACUAUGCCUGAAUAGGGUGAAGCCAGAGGAAACUCUGGUGGAGGCUCGCAGCGGUUCUGACGUGCAAAUCGAUCGUCAAAUUUGGGUAUAGGGGCGAAAGACUAAUCGAACCAUUGUUGAGAGCAAGCAUUUUCUCGCUGCUAGGUGGUUGAGAGGUGGUCCAAAUCGCUACCUAGUCCACCGAUAUGGUGGGCAACACUGCCAAAUUGCGGGGACGCCCUGAGAGCUCAAGCAACCGCCGCCUCCCGAAAGAAGAGGUGUGCUCCGGGUUAAUGGCCACGGGUAUGGUAAUAUCGCUUGAGAUUGGGUAAUCCGCAGCGUGGUCCUGCUGGUUCUUGAAAUCGAUGGAUGACGUUCACAGACUAGAUGGCAGUGGGUGGACCCUAUGCCGAGGGAUCUGCUUAAGAUAUAGUCGGACCUCCGGGAGAUCCGGUUGGAGGGGUGUGUGCUGGGGCACGUGCUCCCUCAGGGGCUCCAUGUGGACGCCCUGGAAUGAAUGCUAGUAGCUGGUUCCUGCCGAAGUUUCCCUCAGGAUAGCAGUAACGUGCGGCAGUUUUAUGAGGUAAAGCGAAUGAUUAGAGGCCUUGGGGUUGAAACAACCUUAACCUAUUCUCAAACUUUGAAUAUGUAAGAAGUCCUUGUUGCUUGGUUGAACGUGGACAUUCGAAUGUACCGUUACUAGUGGGCCAUUUUUGGUAAGCAGAACUGGCGAUGCGGGAUGAACCGAACGCGGGGUUAAGGUGCCGGAAUGCACGCUCAUCAGACACCACAAAAGGUGUUGGUUCAUCUAGACAGCAGGACGGUGGCCAUGGAAGUCGGAAUCCGCUAAGGAGUGUGUAACAACUCACCUGCCGAAUGAACUAGCCCUGAAAAUGGAUGGCGCUCAAGCGUGCUACCCAUACCCCGCCGCCAGGGUAGGAACGAUGCCCUGGCGAGUAGGCAGGCGUGGGGGUCCGUGACGAAGCCUCGGGAGCGAUCCCGGGUCGAACGGCCCCUAGUGCAG
rnacentral:rRNA from 1 species